GUGCAUCAUCCGUUAUGCCGAAUAUUUAAGAAGGCCUUCGCAGCAACUACCGAAGUGUAGAAAAUGUUGAAGGCUCAUAUUGUAACCCUUUCUCCACCAGGGGGCAGCCUAACUGCUGAAUUCUCGUCCAAACUAAAGUCAGGUGUGUCGAACAUUCCUAAGGUUAUGCAAGAACAAGAAAAGUGUCAACAUAAGCGGUGAUAAGAAAAACAAGAAAUGGGAAAAGUUCCACGUCGCCCACAGGAAGUUUGCCCUAAUCCUGGGUUGAGGUAAGCCCACCUGAGAGGAUUACCUGGGUUCCGUCAGCUCACUACAAGUCACCAGGAAGGAAUUUACUUCAGAGGUUUCCAUCUCUUGCUUGGGCCUGGUAGGAUCGGUCCAGGUCUGAAGUCUGAGCCAGGCAGCCGAACUCCAGACGGGAUGCACAGGAUGCUGUACAGGGCUCCGUUCACGUAUGGACGGAUCUGCACCACACAGACAGCCCUAAACAUCAAGUCAGCAUGUACUGGACACUCACUAUGGAUGAAGAUGGCACAAGUUCAUAAGAAGAGCAGCAGAAUAUUCCAGGGUGGAGUCACUCAGACAGUCCGAGUCAUGGAGCUCAUCCACGAGCCAGCCAAUCAGAUGGCUUUCUAUCAUGAUGGUCUGCUGGCUCCUCCUACAUGACAGACGUGAUGGUAAAGGUUGACCAGCCUUGCCUGAUGACAGCACGUGUGUUACCUAAGGCUGAGCUUCUGCAGAGCCACCAGGACAUUCUCCCUGGUCAAGGAGUCCUUCUCCUCUGUUGUGAGGGUUUCCAUCAGGAGUUUAGGGAGAUAUGGGAUUUGUGACAGGUAAGCCCGCCCUGGAAGCACAAACACAACACAGGUUCAAUAUUUGGACCAUGUAGUAGACCAGGUGCGGGCAAACUACGGCCCGGGGGCCACAUGCGGACCGCCCGUUCUUCCCAAAGUAUUUCAUUAAACCUAACAUACAACCUGGCGUCACGACUUGAGCCUACGUUUUGAUAGUUUUAGUCGCAGUUAUCAAUUUGGUUAUUUGAUGCGGUCUGCUGUUUCCAAAGUGCUCCUUAAAAGGGACACAGGCAUGUAUAGACUGCAUGACACUUUUACAGAUACAAUAAUUCCAGGUGGUCUGUUACGUGUAAAAUAUAUAGUCUGGCCCCCCGUCAAGUUUGUUCAAUCAAUGCUGCCCACCAGUCAAAAAGUUUGGCCACCCCGACGUAAAUUAUGUAGUAGUUCCUGCUGUACUUCUCGAGAUGCUAUAUGUGCCGUACUGCAUCUCAACAAGCCAUAGUUUGAUCAUUGGGGGAAUGUGCUAACAAGGUGCUAACACUGGUCAACAAGGGUUGCCAAGCCUUAAAUGGGUGUUAAUCUAUUGGAGUUGAUGACUUACCCUCUGCAAAGGAGGCAAAGGCAUUGAUGAGACGAGCCAUGUACUGUCGCACCAUGUCAUUCUUCAAAGUCAGUAAGAGAAGCACUUCCUGUUGAGACAGGCGUACAGCUGUGAUUAGAUUUUUACCUGGAAUUGGUAUUACUUCACUUUGCCGUCUAACAAGGCACAUAACCACCAACUUAUACAUAGUUCUACGUAGAAGGGGCCGAUGUAAUCAGAAAAAGUAUUUGGAGCAUGAACUGAUGAAGCCUGGUCACAUGAGAGGCCAGACGUCAUAUAAGACAACUACAGAUGGAUUCCAUGGCCUGAGAAGGUCAAGUUCCAAAACAACCGCAUGUGGUGAUGGUUCUUCACCUGCUUUGCUUUGCAGCGUUCCAACAAGUCAUUGCUGAUGUACGCCUGAAGCACGGUAUCCCUCUGCUCUCCAGGAAGUGAGCGAGUUAGCCUCUAAAAAGAAAGACGAGGGUGGCUGAGCAGGAAACGUUGAGUAGGUCAUGUAGUCGACGAAGGCCAAUAUACAAACCCAACGCAGCGCCUGAAGCAGCAGGGACCUGAGGCGGUCUGAGCCUCCGAGCAGGUCCUUCUUCAGCUUGACGUAAUCCAAAGAGGGAAGCAUUGGCACUUCCUUGGGUCUGAGGGGGUUGUUCAACAAGGUGUCAUGCUAAGGCCGUACAGACGGAGAGCAUGUAGAACACAGAAGGACUUACUGUGGCGCAAUGGAUGCUCGUAGCAUGGAGGAAGCCUAGGAAAUGAACAUGAUGUUUACACAUCCUUACUCAUGUACUCAGGUCCACCUUGUGUCCGCACAUACCGUACAAACGCAGACCAUAUGCUGUACGUGUUACUCACCUAGAGGCCUUGCAUCAUCGCUAGUGUAUGGAUGGACAUGCUUGUAUCAUGCGUGUUGUACAUGCUGAACCCCCAAACAUAUCAUUACUUUGGGAAGAUCCCCCAUGCAGACAAUAGGUUGAGUUGGUGGAGAAUCGUGUUAGCGUCAAACAUUGUCACCAGCUCGGUUUGCCAUCUGUCCCGACAAAGGGCCAAGCUUUAUUCCCUUGUUUUCACACAACUGCACUGGAAUGUGGCGGAGGAGCGGCAUCGUUGCCAUGGCAACUCCAGACCAUUUAGUGUAAGAUCAUAAUCAUAAGUUAUCCUUUAACAAAACAUUUAGGAAGACGUUUUCUGCUUUUGACUGGUAUUUACUUUAGUGUCACGGUUCAAUACCACAUUUUCAUGUACUUUUUGUACUUCAUUGGGAAUACCACAUCCAUCCAUCUUCUAUGCUGCUUAUACUCACUAUGGUGCAGCUAUGCCGGAGCCUAUCCCAGCUGACUUUGGAUGAGAGGCGGGGUAGACCCUGCACGGGUCCAAGUACCAUAGCAACAUAGCAGUAACUCAGUUCACCGAUUCAAUAGUAUUUCAUUAUUUCCGCCGUUAGCGUCCAGUUAGCCAUUAAACAUUGCUUCGCCGUGAG